GACGAACGCUGGCGGCGUGCCUAAUACAUGCAAGUUGAGCGCUGAAGGUUGGUACUUGUACCGACUGGAUGAGCAGCGAACGGGUGAGUAACGCGUGGGGAAUCUGCCUUUGUGCGGGGGACAACAUUUGGAAACGAAUGCUAAUACCGCAUAAAAACUUUAAACACAAGUUUUAAGUUUGAAAGAUGCAAUUGCAUCACUCAAAGAUGAUCCCGCGUUGUAUUAGCUAGUUGGUGAGGUAAAGGCUCACCAAGGCGAUGAUACAUAGCCGACCUGGGAGGGUGAUCGGCCACAUUGGGACUGAGACACGGCCCAAACUCCUACGGGAGGCAGCAGUAGGGAAUCUUCGGCAAUGGACGAAAGUCUGACCGAGCAACGCCGCGUGAGUGAAGAAGGUUUUCGGAUCGUAAAACUCUGUUGGUAGAGAAGAACGUUGGUGAGAGUGGAAAGCUCAUCAAGUGACGGUAACUACCCAGAAAGGGACGGCUAACUACGUGCCAGCCGCCGCAGUAA
rnacentral:rRNA from 1 species